rnacentral:misc_RNA from 1 species
UUUCCGUAGGUGAACCUGCGGAAGGAUCAAUGCCUAAACAAUCAUUUACAGAGCUGGUCGUAGACCAGGUCUGUGGGUGUGAUGUCUAAUGCGUGUGUGGUGUGGCUGAUUAAUCAAGAGGAGAUAAUGACAGAACUUUUAACAAUGGAUCUCUGGGCUCUU